GCGUCAGGUGGUGCAAUGGUUAGCAUACGCUCCCGGAAAGAGUGAUCUGGGUUCGAGCCUCGACUGACACA